CCCGUAUAACUCCUAUCUUGCGUAGAUGAUGCUCGUCCAACCGACAUGGAGCUCGACUCUGGGAACAGAUGACUUAAAUAGAUGUGAGCUCCCUGCAGCUAGCAGUCUGACAUCUUGAUCUUGGAUAACAUAGUCUACACCAUCUUUGCCAUCCACAACACUACCAUCAAAGUUGAUCUUGGCAAAUCUUGAGAAAGGAAGUUUUCAAAAAAUUAGAAGAAUCCUCGAGAAUGUUGCAUACGCAGCAUGAGAGUCUCAGGAACUUGAGGCGACAAAGAAAAGACCAACAGCAUCAAAAUGGCUGUACUCCAUAGCUAAACAACAGGCUCUCUCUGGCAUCUAAUGUGCAAGCACAACCUCAUCUUCAAAGAUUAGGUGGUUUUUGGACAACCAAGUUUGAUAGGUGAUGUACACUAUCCUGUCGUCUCAAGGCAGACCCUCAUUCAUACUCCUACGGAUCGCAUCCAGGAAGAAAAGAAGCCAAGGGCCACUAGUUGCCCUUUAAGGCUAACCACCUGUCAUACCUCAAAUCAAACAUGUCCUCAGACAAUGAAGCAGGGCAUGCUCCGUCGACUCAUCCUCCAGCCCGCAGAUUGGAUAGAUGGCCAGAAGCUUCAUGCCUCUAUUUUUGAGAAGUGUCCAUAUCAGUAACC
rnacentral:lncRNA from 1 species